rnacentral:rRNA from 1 species
GACGAACGCUGGCGGCGUGUCUAAUACAUGCAAGUAGGACGCACAGUUUAUACCGUAGCUUGCUACACCAUAGACUGUGAGUUGCGAACGGGUGAGUAACGCGUAGGUAACCUGCCUAUUAGAGGGGGAUAACUAUUGGAAGCGAUAGCUAAUACCGCAUAACAGUAUGUAACACAUGUUAGAUGCUUGAAAGAUGCAAUUGCAUCGCUAGUAGAUGGACCUGCGUUGUAUUAGCUAGUAGGUAGGGUAAUGGCCUACCUAGGCGACGAUACAUAGCCGACCUGAGAGGGUGAUCGGCCACACUGGGACUGAGACACGGCCCAGACUCCUACGGGAGGCAGCAGUAGGGAAUCUUCGGCAAUGGGGGGAACCCUGACCGAGCAACGCCGCGUGAGUGAAGAAGGUUUUCGGAUCGUAAAGCUCUGUUGUUAAGGAAGAA